AUGAACGCUAGCUACAGGCUUAACACAUGCAAGUCGAGGGGCAGCAUGAUUGAAGCUUGCUUCAAUUGAUGGCGACCGGCGCACGGGUGAGUAACACGUAUCCAACCUGCCGAUAACUCGGGGAUAGCCUUUCGAAAGAAAGAUUAAUACCCGAUAGCAUAGUAUUUCCGCAUGGUUUCACUAUUAAAGAAUUUCGGUUAUCGAUGGGGAUGCGUUCCAUUAGAUAGUUGGCGGGGUAACGGCCCACCAAGUCAACGAUGGAUAGGGGUUCUGAGAGGAAGGUCCCCCACAUUGGAACUGAGACACGGUCCAAACUCCUACGGGAGGCAGCAGUGAGGAAUAUUGGUCAAUGGACGAGAGUCUGAACCAGCCAAGUAGCGUGAAGGAUGACUGCCCUAUGGGUUGUAAACUUCUUUUAUACGGGAAUAAAGUGGAGUAUGCAUACUCCUUUGUAUGUACCGUAUGAAUAAGGAUCGGCUAACUCCGUGCCAGCAGCCGCGGUAAUACGGAGGAUCCGAGCGUUAUCCGGAUUUAUUGGGUUUAAAGGGAGCGUAGGCGGGUGCUUAAGUCAGUUGUGAAAGUUUGCGGCUCAACCGUAAAAUUGCAGUUGAUACUGGGUACCUUGAGUGCAGCAUAGGUAGGCGGAAUUCGUGGUGUAGCGGUGAAAUGCUUAGAUAUCACGAAGAACUCCUAUUGCGAAGGCAGCUUACUGGACUGUAACUGACGCUGAUGCUCGAAAGUGUGGGUAUCAAACAGGAUUAGAUACCCUGGUAGUCCACACAGUAAACGAUGAAUACUCGCUGUUGGCGAUACACAGUCAGCGGCCAAGCGAAAGCAUUAAGUAUUCCACCUGGGGAGUACGCCGGCAACGGUGAAACUCAAAGGAAUUGACGGGGGCCCGCACAAGCGGAGGAACAUGUGGUUUAAUUCGAUGAUACGCGAGGAACCUUACCCGGGCUUAAAUUGCAGCGGAAUGUAGUGGAAACAUUACAGCCUUCGGGCCGCUGUGAAGGUGCUGCAUGGUUGUCGUCAGUUCGUGCCGUGAGGUGUCGGCUUAAGUGCCAUAACGAGCGCAACCCUUAUCUAUAGUUACUAUCAGGUCAUGCUGAGGACUCUAUGGAGACUGCCGUCGUAAGAUGUGAGGAAGGUGGGGAUGACGUCAAAUCAGCACGGCCCUUACGUCCGGGGCUACACACGUGUUACAAUGGGGGGUACAGAAGGCAGCUACCUGGCGACAGGAUGCUAAUCCCAAAAACCUCUCUCAGUUCGGAUUGGAGUCUGCAACCCGACUCCAUGAAGCUGGAUUCGCUAGUAAUCGCGCAUCAGCCACGGCGCGGUGAAUACGUUCCCGGGCCUUGUACACACCGCCCGUCAAGCCAUGAAAGCCGGGGGUACCUGAAGUACGUAACCGCAAGGAGCGUCCUAGGGUAAAACUGGUGAUUGGGGCU
rnacentral:rRNA from 1 species